GUAAGCAAGAAAUAUCUAAUUGCAAAAUAUUGUGCAAUAGCAAGAUUAUUUUUUUUAAUUGGAGUUAUCUUUCUUUGUCCAGAAUCAACUUAAAUCUUUGUUAUAUACAUAUACAAUGUAUAUUCACUUUUUACUACAACUGAUAAAUUAAAAUAAUCUUUACCAUUCAGUGAUAACAAGCAGUUUUUUUACAUCUUAAUAUUUUAUGAUGUAUUUAAAUGAGUAGUUAUUGUUGCAAACUCCAUUAGAAAUUUUAAUUGAGGUUAGUUUUGGAAUAAGGGAAAGGGGGAUGUGAUUAAAAAAAUUGGGUUAAAUUUUUCUCAUUUGAAAUUUCAUAAAUAAAAAAGAAAAUUUCUUCAAACAUUUUUUUGAGAGGAUUAAUAUUCAACAGCAUAGUGAAUUGCUCUAAGAGAAAACAAAAUUUUAGUUCAUUAGAACACAUUCAUUCUGUGUCAGAAACCUAUGCUGUGUCAACUAUUUAAUCACAAUCCAAUUUAGAGCUGAAUCCAGCUUGAAUGUUGUGUCCAUACUUGC
rnacentral:lncRNA from 1 species